AUAUCUCAAAGUCUUACCCUCAUUUCAUUUGAAAGUAAUAAUCACAUUGUUGAAGUUACAUAUGGUGUUAUAUUUUUGUUUAUGGUUGUUCCCAAUCAGAGAUUCGGAAUUCAAGUCGUAUCCUUUGGACAGUGUAGAAAGAUAUGUUACAAUAGUAAAAUGUCUUAUUUUGGUGUGUGUGUGUUAUCCUUUGACUUGCUAAAUCCAUAGUAGUCACGGUUAAAUAAUGGGCUACAGGUGGACUCAAUCAACAAUUUCAGAGAAAAUUGCCUAUAUACCCUAGUAAAAUUCCAAAAUUUUUUAUUUAUCCUUUGGUUUCAAAUAUGUUCCUGAAAAGAUUGUUUGUUUGUUUGUUUUUCUUAUAUACCCUAUUUUGAGGGUUGUUGUUUUUUUUUUUUUGGAAGAAUUUGGGCUUUUAGAUGGGUAAAUUUGUUGACAAAUGUUUUUGAGGGGCAUGUAUAAAUAUAAAUUUCUUUGUAUUAAGCAGUAUAUAGGCAAUUGCCCCAUAAUUUACCUAUUUGGGGUUAAGUGUUGCUAGCUCGGUUCACGUAUCAAGUGGUAAAUAGAAUAUCAAAAUACAUACAUACAUACAUACAUAUA
rnacentral:lncRNA from 1 species